rnacentral:rRNA from 1 species
UCACCGGUUGUGGUGGAUGUACCAGUCCUUGUGGGAGGUACGAUGACCACUGGAACCGUACGAUGGACAGAUAGACAUUGAGGACCUCCUGCAGUUCUACCUGCAACCGUACGGACUGUGGCAAGUCCCAUUAAGUAGGUCAGUGCGGAAGGAACCUGAAUACAAAACUAUCCCGCUGUAGUCGUAGGGAUGUCUACACUUCGACGGGUAGGAAUUACCAAAGAUGACGGUAUAGAUGUUGGGACUGACCUAAAUAGUUACAUACCCUAUAGUGGAAUAGACCACGAGUGAGAUUGCGGAGGCCGUAUCUCCUACUGUAGUCGUAGGGAUCUCUACACUUCGUCGGGUAGGAAUUACCAAAGAUGACGGUAUAGAUGUUGGGGCUGACCUAAAUAAUUACAUAACCUAGAGAGGAAUAGACAGUGGGUGGGGCUGCGGAGGCCGUAUAUUCUCUAACGUUUCCUCAACCUACGCAUCCCCGUACUAUAGAGCUACUAUCACCGGUUGUGGUGGAUGUACCCGUACUUGCGGGAGGUACUACGACCGCCGGAACCGUACGAUGGUCAGAUGAACAUAGAGGGAACCCUCCAGUUCUACCUACAACCGUACGGGCUAUGGCAAGUCCAAUACGUCGCCACAACUUAUUUUACGACGGCCACGUACACGCGUCGAACUACUUAGCAAGCGACUAUUACGAGGUGACGAUGACAGCCCGAAGGUGCACUAUGGUGAACUACGGUUCUGCCUACGUGGUAGUCGUUGUGCAUGUGGUCUGGAACGUAGAUGAGAACUCCAAUUCCAAUCUGGACCACACGAGGAUCACUACGUAGACCGUUAUCUUCUACUCAUGAAUGGUCACGAAAGGUCAAGAGCAUACUCUUUGUGGAAGCUCUCUCACAACGCCGUCACCGCUCCCUCAUACACUCCUGACACCACCGUGCCACGUCUCUCACCGGUACCGUCAUCGGGGAAGACCAGGAUCACCUGUCUCACUUUACUUCUUGGGAGGUCCUAGAGGACUACGAGGGUACGAACGUUCCAAAGUGUGAUCUCGCCUUGAGGAAACGUGCCUGAGAGUCUCACGCCUGCGAAGGGACUUUCGCAACACCGUCCUGAGUCUAAGUUAGUAAACGACAAGGGACUUCCGACGAGGACACAAGUCGAAGCGAUUAGUUCAGCCGGAGCUGUACAGCCUCCGCUACGACUAACGAGAGGUCCAACGGGUUCUAGUACGUAGUCCCAAAGCGCAUGGAGGGGCCGCCGCACACGUACAGCUCGUCCCCAUCCUUCCAGUAAAACGACGACCUUCAAACUAGAGGACAUCCCGCCUGCCUCGCUCUUCUGACUGGCUACCUCCAAGACCGCGACGAACCAGAAACUUUCGCGACUAACAAUAUCGGCUACUACGUAGUAUUUUCACGGACAACCGACCAAGUUCACAGCCUCCGGCCACCAUAACUUGGCCACUUGAUCACAACUAUAGGUACGGUUAACGCUGCUUCUGAGUCCACCGGCCUUUCUUCGCGACACAAGAGGUAGAGUCACAUAUAAACCGCAGCGCGACCCAAGGAGAACGAUGGUUCAAAUCAGAAUCCAAAACACUCUUUACGUCAAAUUACUACUGGCUAUAGUAUCACCGAACAUCAAAAAUCGAGUAUUUAAAAAAGACUACACGGAACAUCAAAAUCAGGUAGUGUACGAUAAGACUACUUAUGUUACGGAACAUAACCGACACUUACUUACUUACACAAGACUUGCCGAAGUAGGAACUAAACGAACUCGGAUUCUUACAACUAAACCGGCGGUGCACCCACGACACAUGGUUUAUUUGG